UUCUUGAUGAAUAGUAGAGGAAGCACCUUCUCUGGGCGAGCUGCGGAGGGGGUGGGGAAGGAACCAGAACUUCCUCCUUCUGGGGGGAGGGUGUGGCCCCUUUCCCCCUCCUCUGGCAGGUGGAGCUGCGUUCCUCUGUGGCCUCCGUCCAGCCCAGUUCCUGGCGGAGACCAAGGGCCCCAACAGCCUCCUCUAGGCUCCAGGACCUGCUCCCCUUUCCCCGGAGAAGGAAGCUGAGCCCAGAGGAUUCUGGAGCUAUGCCUGGCUGCUCUCUACCUCUUGAAGCUCUAGGGGCCAUACCUAUGCUGGGAGGCAACAUUGGGCAAGGAAACAGGCCCUGGGGUUGACAGCUUUCCAAGAGGCCCCCCCAAGAGCCCCGACCUGGUACUCUACCUCUGAAUGUACUGAGGUUGAACUGCAUUAGCAGUAAGGUCAUGUAGAAGAUGAGGUCGCAGGGGCAUCCUGGUCUGUCUCUCUCUGUCUCUAACAUCCCCCAUUGUGGGGGAGGCCAACUGUCUUUUGCUAUGGAGAGGCCAACAGAGUGUGGGGUUUAUAAGCUGGUCUCCAGCCUUCAGAUGGGACCCCAGCUGCUGCCAACAUCUCAACAGCAAUCCGAAGAGACUGAGAGCCAGGACCACCCAGCUGAGCCAUUCCGGGACUCCUAUCCCUCAGAAGUUGUGUGAGAUAAUAAGUGUUUGUUGUUGUAAACUGGUAAAUUAUAGGUUAAUUUGUUGUACAGCUAUAAUUAACAAUAAUGUUUUACGUAAAAUUAAAGUAAUUGUAAGUAACAAUAGCAAUAUACAACUAAUGUGCCCACGGUCACCGAGGGCCGCCAGCACCACGUGCCCACUUGAUGAUGGGGCUGUGGAAGAGUUGGGUGGCGCGAGGCCCAGAAACAGCCCUUGCAGUGGUGGUGAUGAGCAGAGCAGACUGGACUCAUGUCCAUUGAGAAGCAGUUCCCCUGUAAGUGCCAGCCCCCUGUCCCCUUCCACCCCCAUCCUGGGCUGACCAGCCACAGCCCAGGCCCAUCCCUGUGGCUUGUGGGCAGGGCAGGGGCCAUUUCCCUUUCAGUAACUGAAGGGGCACAGAACAUGUAUCAGAACAUGGUGUUGGGGGUUCCGGGGCCCCAGAUUUCAAACAAAAACAGGCAGAGGUGAUGCUCCAUGCUGGGAACCACAGAACUGACUGCCCUGCCCAGGGAAGCUUGUUCCCAUCAGCCCUGCCAUUCCCAGCAUGAACCCUGCAACCUGCCCCAGGGUCACACUGACCUGUCCCUAGUGGGCACAUCAACCCUGUUUGCAGCCCAGUGUUCAUGGUGACCAAGAGGCAACUGGCUGCUGCUGCUUCAGAGGUGUCCUGCCUGACCCUGACACCCACCUGGUGAUUUUGGGCUCACUUCCUGGGCUCCUGCUUCAAACAAAAAGUCUGCAUGUCUGUGUGGGGACGUGGGGGCCAAUUCCUGCCUUCCCAUCUUUACCCACAAGUGGGUCAGAGGCUGGUGAAGAGAAGGACUUCCCUUUGCUAGGAUCCCCCAGCACUCCUUACUCUGUCUAGCACAUGGGAUAGGGCUCAGCAGCUCCAGGUGUGGGGAGGCACUGCAGUCCUCUCCUGGCCGCCAUGUCCAUUCCCUGACAUAUGAGCUGACCAUGACUUGGGCCAUACAUGACAUCCAGGGGCCGGGCUCCAGCCAGGGCCCCUCUGCUCCUGACCCUCCCUUCACAUGGCCUUUCAAAGUCCAGGCCUCUGGGGCCCUGGGCUUGGACUUUCCCUGCCAGCCCAGGGUCAGUAAAGUGUUAGGGAAGACCUGGCCGAACUUUUUCCUCUACCUGGAUCAGGAGGCUGGUUCUGGACCAAACCCCAGGUGAGACAGGGCAUCAUCUGGCUGUGUAUACAUGGGAUUUUCUUCUCUCUGUGUCCCCUGAAGUUUGUUUUGUUGAAUUAAGAGGUGAGAGUAACGUCCCAGGACUGAGCUGACCAGUCUGCCCACUUGGAGCCUGAACUCUUUGGUCAGACUUUUCCAGAGUAGAGCCCAGGUCCCAUGGAUUGAAUAUUUGUCUGCAAACUGCCCCUUGCCCUGCUAAUUCAUAUGUUGAGUAUUACCCCCAAGGUGAUGGCUUUAGGAAGUGGGGCCCCUGGAAGGGAAUUCCGUCACAGAUGGCAUUAGUGCCCUUCCUUUUCCAGAGAGACGAGAAGGGAGAGCUCGUGCUCACUCUGCCCUGUGAGCACGUGGCUAGAAGGCAGGCUUUCGCCGUGAAGAGGUCCUCAUGGAACGCACACCCGUGCUGGCAUUUGCCUCUGGGUUCCUAUUAUUGAUUUGUGCUGUUAGGGCAGCCCAACUGACCAGGAUGCCUGGGCUUGAUGUUACUACACAGACAGGAGCCUGGAGGUGGUUACUGACUGCCCCUCCUGGGACAGGAACAGGAGUUCUGGGUAUUUGGGUUGGUGCUCCUUGUGCUCAGGUCCUUCCCUGCCACACAGAUUUGACUCCUGUGCAAACCCAGAAAUCGACGUCUUCCUGGGUCAGGAGGAGUUCCAGCCUGAGCCCCAGGGUCCUGGGGAAAGUUGGAGCCGCCCCAACCUGGAGCUGGGGAGUGUUGUGUGGAGCGAAUGAAAUAAAGCCUAUAAUGUG